rnacentral:rRNA from 1 species
CGGUUGANCCUGCCGGAGGUCACUGCUAUCAGUGUUCGANUAAGCCAUGCAAGUCAAAUGUUCUUCGUGAACAUGGCGGACUGCUCAGUAACACGUGGAUAACCUGCCCUUAGGAUUGGCAUAACACCGGGAAACUGGUGAUAAUACCGAAUAGNCCAUUUAUGCUGGAAUGCUUUUUGGUUCAAAGGCUUCGGCUGCCUAAGGAUGGAUCUGCGGCCUAUCAGGUAGUAGUGGGUGUAAUGUACCUACUAGCCUACGACGGGUACGGGUUGUGAGAGCAAGAGCCCGGAGAUGGAUUCUGAGACAUGAAUCCAGGCCCUACGGGGCGCAGCAGGCGCGAAAACUUUACAAUGCGGGAAACCGCGAUAAGGGGACACUGAGUGCCAGCAUAUUAUGUUGGCUGUCCACAUGUGUAAAAACCAUGUGUUAGCAAGGGCCGGGCAAGACCGGUGCCAGCCGCCGCGGUAACACCGGCGGCCCGAGUGGUGAUCACUUUUAUUGGGUCUAAAGGGUCCGUAGCCGGUUUGAUCAGUCUUCUGGGAAAUCUGACAGCUCAACUGUUAGGCUUUCAGGGGAUACUGUUAAACUUGGGACCGGGAGAGGUAAGAGGUACUACAGGGGUAGGAGUGAAAUCUUGUAAUCCCUGUGGGACCACCAGUGGCGAAGGCGUCUUACCAGAACGGGUCCGACGGUGAGGGACGAAAGCUGGGGGCACGAACCGGAUUAGAUACCCGGGUAGUCCCAGCCGUAAACGAUGUUCGCUAGGUGUCAGGGACGGUGCGACCGUUUCUGGUGCCGUAGGGAAGCCGUGAAGCGAACCACCUGGGAAGUGCGGCCGCAAGGCUGAAACUUAAAGGAAUUGGCGG